ACAAAGUACUGGGCCUGUGAGUGUUGGUCUCUUUCCCAGCCCCUCAGAGCACGUGGUGUUCCCAUGCUCUGGGGCCUGGGCCCUUUUUGGUAGCAGAGUCUGAGAACAGAGGACAGGACAGUUCCGGCUUAUAGCAGGACCUAGUGUACUUGCUGGAGGUCUCAGGGGCACCCAAAUUGGACCUGGGAGAGCCUGAAGAGAAGUGGAAUCACCCAGCCAAGCCAAGAAGGGUUAGUACUUUUGCUAGGAGAGCAGAUCUCGCACAAACAGAUGGGAACCAAAAACAGGUGAAGAGGAUUGAAGAUGAACUCACCUUUUAAAAGUCUUUGUCUGCCGGAGGUGGCAUUACCUGUGACCUCGCUUCACUUCUUCACACAUGGCUGUUGUAGCAGGUACAUUGUAACGAAGCAUGAUUGUUUCAGAAAUGCAAAAACAGGUGGCAAAAUUUUAAAGCAUGUUAGAAUUCCAAAGACUAUUUUGUGAUGUUUUAAAAAGCAUUCAAGCUAUAAGGCAUGGAUCCCUGAAGUUUGCCCCCUGUAACCCGAAACAAUUCGAUAGCAUGAGAAAAUGCUGGAGAUAAUAGUGAAGAAGAACAGAUAUGGGAAGACUUGGUUAAGUAGAAAUUAAAAUCUGCAAAAGAGAAGAUGCCUGAUGAGGGCAGAGAGAUGCUCUGCCUGUGAUUUAGGGAGAAAAGCAAACUGUUGGACUUUGAAGAUCAAACCAUAAAAGUUUGCUGACAGCAGGUAAGAGAAAUGGAAAAACAAAUUGUGUUUUACUCUACUUCUAACAUGUGUGAUAACAUUGAACCAAAUAAAUAAACGUAUAUAUUUUAGAGAGCCAAUAUACACUUCGAGUUGUAUGUAUAAAAAUUCAAACAAAACAAAAACGGUGUCUUCGUUUCCAACUCAAUCUUUUGAGAGUAUACUUUCAAGUUUAUAUGUAUGUGUGUAUGUGUAUGUAUGCAUAUAUAUAUAGACAAACAAGGCUUGUUAUUGAUAACAUUCAUGUAAAUUCAUUUCCCUCAAUAUUUUUUAGAGUAAACACCUGGCCUGAUCCAAACCACGGUGUAAACAUAUAUCCAAUUUUAAUACAGAUUUAUUUUCUGUGUGAAAAUAAAUUUAAGAAUAUGUAAAUAUAUAUGUUGAAGGAUAUGAUAUAAAUAAUCCAAAAGGUUAUCAGUUGUCUUAACAGGUUUUAAGAGAGUGCCUUUCUUCUUGAUCAUCACAUGUUUAUUUUCUGAAUCUUUGGCGUGCACUAUUCCCUAAUUUACUAGUGAGAAAAUAUUGUAAUAUCUCUCAUACCUAAGAGAUAAAGUGUGACACCUACAGACACAUAAACACACACAAACACCAUGAAGUCACAGGAAGUAUCUGAAUAGUAUUUAAUGGCAUGGGAAAAGACUGUGUUCUAAUGUUAAAUGGUGAAACCAUGAAACAAAACUCUAAGUAACCUCUAAUUGGAAUUUAUACAUAUGUAAGUGUAUGUGUCAUGCCAUAUAUGGCAUGUGGUAAUGACAGCUGUCUGAUCCUUCCUCUUAUGGUUCAUGCCAAAUCGUUGCCUACAAUUCACCACAAAAGGUGACUAAAUGGAGAUAUACUCCCAGGUUGUCUAGGAGGUGAUCCAGGUCAAAGACCAUUUGGAUUUGUGAAUUGUUGGCUUGAGAAGAUCUCUAAGCUUCAGCCAAUAUCUUCUUUUUCUGUCUGGAUCUACCCAAUUUAUGCCUUGAAUGAGACAAUUUGAUGUCAUGGGAAAAUACUGGACAUGUAAAGCUGAGUGAAGCAAUUCAGAACCCCGUAGACAAGGUCGGGUGGUAAUUUAAUUUCUGAAAGAACAAGAUGCCUGAAGAGGGUGGGUGGUUUUAGGCCUGAGUUUGACUUCAGAUGGAAAUCAAAAGUGUAGUAACGUGAACAGGUUUUCUCAAACUGAACAAAAUGCUAGACAGCCAUGUUUCUUGGUUCUUUAGUCUCUUUGUGGCGUGUUUUUUUUUUGGACUGGAAGGGCAGGAGAAGAGUACUUCCAGGACGGGUCUUUUGGCAUAUCUGGAGCACUACUGCCAUCAUGAGGAAAUAGUUUCAAAACACUCUUAAGUUGUUACAGCUUCCUUCCUGUGAGGCCAACCAGUUAAAGAAGGGUUCCGUGUUGGACCUCCUCGCCUACUCCCCUAUGGCCUUACAAGAAAUCUCGACAUUGUCUGUAUCUGGAUGUAGAACCUGGAGAGUAAGGGACCUGGAGUGAUCCAGUAGCUGCCAGGAGGUCUAGGCAUAGGAAAUUGUGGGGGCAGGGCUCAGUCCUCUGACCAGUAUGGACAGGAUUAGAGGAAUCCACCCUAAGACAAAUGUAGGCUCUUGUGGGUAUUUGUCUCUUGUUCCUGCCCCUUGCAGUAGGCUUUCACAUGGUGUCCCAGUGCUAUGGAGCUUAGGUCCCUUGGGGCUGAACUGUCAGAGAAAGAUGGACGAGCUUGUUUCAAGGGAAGUUUAGCAGCAUCCGGUAUGCUUGUGGGUCACAGACCACACAAAAUUCUGGAGCCCAAUGUAACUUUGACUAGCAGAAUAGAUGCACACAUCCAAAUGGGGUCACCAAAUGGAGAGGAAGACCAGGAAGAAUUCUCUAUGUCUAUGAGGAAAAGGCAGGUACAGACGAAUGGUAGCUGAUUUUUCAGGCCUAGAUAAAAGGCUUGAUGGAGUCUUGAUCUUGUCUCAGGUAUCACAAGAAGACAGGCCUAUGAAGCAUCUUCAUCUUCAAUCAACUAUGAGGCAGGAACAGAGAACAUUGAUUAGUAUGUGAUUAGUGGUCCCAGGCUUUAAGGACUUCAAUUUCCUUUGGAAAAAGCCAAGAAAUAGUCUUAUGCCCUCGCUUCUUGUGACACUUGAGAGGAGAUUAAGAUUCUAUCUGGGGUAGGUCUUUUUUCUUUGACUAGCCAAAAUUAGACUGGGCAGCUUAGCCUCUACUCCUUCUAAUCAGGCCCCCACUUGCUCCAGGCAAUGGGGCUCCAAAAUUUUGUGUAAUCUGAGACCCACAGCAAUCAUACCAAAUGCUGCUAAACUUCCCUUGGAACAGGGAUGUCCAUCGUGCUCUGACAAUUCAACCACAAGGGACCCAUAGCACUGGGAUACCAUGUGAAAGCCUGCUAACUCUUGCAACCAGGCGCAGGAACAGGAGACAAAUACCUACAAGAGCUUACAUUUGUUUUGGGGUGGAUUUUUCUAGUCUUGCCUUUAUUGGGAGGAAACCUAAGCUCCGCCCCAUGACUUCCUGUGCCUGGACCUCCUGGCAGCUGCUGGCUCACUCCAGGCCCUUCACUCUCCAGGUUUUACACCAAGAUACUGCCAAUGUUCAGGUCUCCUGUAAGGCCUUUGAGGAGAAGGCAAGGAGGUCCAGCUUCAAGCCCAGGUGUGUUCUACCUCCUCAUAGGUCAGUUCUUCCUUAACUGAUUGACCUCACGGAAAGGAAGCUGUAACUAUUUAGGAUGUUUUGAAACUAUUUCCUCACGAUGGCAGUAGUGCUCCAGAUACGCCAACAAAUCCUGCCGCCAGUCCUUCUCCCGCCCUUCCAGUCUGAAAAAAACGCCACCAAUAGACAAAGGCGCCAGGAAACAUGGCUGCCUUGCAUUUUGCCCAGUGUGAGGAAACUUGCUUACACUGCUACAGUUUUGCUUUUGGUUUCCAUCUGAAAUCAAACUGAGACUUUAAACCAUCCACCUUCUUCAGCCGUCUUUGUCUUUCAGAAAAUAAAUUUCCACUCUACUUGGCCUAUGUAUUUCUGUUUUCCUUCACUCAGCAUUUUAUAUCCAGUAUUUUUCCUUGGCAUCAAGUUUUCUGCCUCAAAGGGUAAAUCUGAGACAUACAAGUUUAAGAGAGAAGAAAAUCCUAGAAGUUCAAAGCCUACAAGAGGGUAUCUCUAGCCAUCUCACUCAUCUCUGAGGCUGUCAGAGAUUCUGAUUUCAUUUUCUGUCCUAGCAGUGAUACUAAUAUUUUGUGGGAAGUAGCCCUUUUCUAAGCCCAACAAUAGGGCCUAGUUAGUGCUCUUUACUCUGUUCAAAACAAUGCCUCACAUGGAAUGACAUUUCUAUACACUCCUGCAACAGUGGAUAUAUUUUGUGUGUAGUGUACACUUGCUGUGGGUCUCGCUUAAGACUGGAACAGAAGCACUUUCCAAUUCCAUUAAAUAUCUUUCUCCUUCUAUAUCUUAAGAUUUUAUCUUUAUUAUUUAUUGAUCUGUUACCAUUGUUUCUGUAGAAAAUACCUCUUAUUUUCAAAUGGAUUGAGGAAAUAAAGGAAUGUUCUGCAAAAAAGAAAAUCACUGACAUAGACCAUGUCAAAAUAAGCACUGAUUAAAUUUAUAGGUAUUAAUUUCUGAUUCUUUUGCUUUACAUGUACAUCAAUCUUUUGGUUCUUGUAGAAGACAGAACUGAAUUAUUCAAUCGAUAAACAUAAAUUACUUAUUAAAUAUAAUAUCUUACAUUCCCCCAAUUAGAGAUAGAGAAUUUUUAAUAAAUUCUUGGAGUAUUUAUAUAAAUUAGUCAUUUGUUUGGCACAAAAAUCAUUUAACAUAUUAAAAUAAUAUGGAUUUUGCAGUCCACAUUGUUCAUAGUCCAGUAAAUUUAGAAAUAAUUAAUGAAAGUUACCAAAUCUUACCUAAUUUAAAAUUAAGGAACACGUUUUAGAUUUCCUUUGACUCAAAUAGGAAAUAAAAAGGGAACUUACAUAACAUCCAGGAAGGAAUUAAAAGAAAGAAGACAUCAAAUCAAAUCCUAUUAUUCCUGAAGAUGCUUUACUCAGAGGAAAGCUUUCAUCUAUAAACGCUUUAUAAUUUUAUUUUAAAAAUUGAAGAAAUAAGAAGCAAAUGAACUCAUUUUACUACAUGUUAACAAACAAUCAAAGAACCUCCCAAAAUAGAAAGACCAAGUCAAUCAUUAUAAAAAUCAAGUCAAAGAAAUAGAAAGCCAAAAAUGCAAUAAAAUAAUAGAUGAAUUCCAAACUGAUUCUUGGAAGACAUCAAUAAAAUAUAACAACCUAUUGUAAGUUUGAAUAAGGAAUAAAAUAAUAUUCAUAAAACAUUAUUAAGUUUGGUUUCCUUAAAUAUGAAGGUUAACUUUGAGAAAGAUACUUCCAGCUAUGGCUAGGUGAGGAUAUUGGUAAAUCCCCUCUUCAAAGAGCAACUACAAAGCUGUAUAAAAUUGACAAAAACAAUCAUAUCUGUGCUCUGGAAAUCAACUAAAAGCAUACAACAAUAUUAUUGUUUGGGUAAGAAAAGUUGAAAUCUGUGUUACUGUGGCCUGUUGCUGUUCCCAUCUGCUUCCUGCUGAGCUCCAUCUAUAAGGAAGUUCUGCUAAGAAGAAAUAAAGACCUUCGGAGAUAAAGUCAGAGAGAAUUCCUUGAUAGCAGACCUGUAUUACAAGAAAUACCAAAGGAAUUCCUUCAGGCUGAAAGGAAAUAACUCUAGAUGGUGACUUGAAUCCAUAAGGAGAAAUUGAAGAACACAGGAAAUGAUAAGUAGCUGGGUUAAUAUAACAGAGUCUAUAUUUUUUCUCUUCAAUUAUUUAAAAGACAUAAGACUAUAUAAAGCAAUGAUUAUUACACUGUUGUUGGCUCUAUAACAUAAAUAGAUGUAAUAUAGAUGAUAAUAACAGCACAAAUGUUGUGGGGUAUGGAACUAUAUAGGAGCAAUAUUUCUACAUUUUACUGGAAGUAUGUUAGUAUUAAUCUAAUGUAUAUUUUGAUAGGUUCAAAUACAUACUGUAAACUCUAGAAAAACCAUUAAGAAGCUAACUAAAAAAUAUAAUUAAAAAUUAAAAGAAAUUAGAAUGAUACAUGAAAAAAUAUAUAGUGGGCACAAAAGAAAGCAGUGAAGGUAGAAUAGAGGAACAAAAAAAAGCAUUAGAAAUACAGAAAACAGCAAAAUAGCAAAUUUAAAUCUAACUGUAUCAAUAACUACAUUAAAUUUUAAUGGUUUAAACACCCAAAUUAAAAGCAGAGAUAAUCAGAUUGGAUAAAAAAGCAAGAUCCAUGUAUAUGCUAUCUAUAGGAGGCACACAUUAAAUCCAAAGACACACAUAGGUUGAAAGUAAAAGGGUGUAAAAAGAUAUAUAUCAUGUCAAUGAUAAUCAUAAUAGAGCUGGAAUGGCUAUAUUAAUAUAUGAAGAAAUAGUUUUAAGAUGACACUUCAAGACAAGGAAUAUUAGAAAACACAAAGAGGGAAAUUACAUAAUAAUAGCAGAGUCAAUACAAAAGGAAGAUAUAACAAUUAUAAAUGUGUACCAUACCUAACAACAGAGCCUCAAAAUAAAAAGUGGAAGAAAUAAAAGAAUAGACAAUUCAACAAUAAUAGAGGGGGAAUUUGAUACCUGCUUCUCAAUAAUUGGAAGAAGAACUAAACAGAAAAUCAACAAGGAGAUACAAUACUUGAACGACAUCAACUAACUUCACUGACCACACAAAGCCUGCAGCAUACACAUUAUUUUCAAGCACACAUGGAACAUUCUUUGUGAUAGAACAUAUGGUGGACCCAAAAACAAGCCUCAGUAAACUUAAAGAUUGAAAUCAUACAAAGUAUGUUCGGUGACCACAGUGGAAAUAAAUUCGAAAUUAACGAAAGAAAGAAAUCUAAGAUAAACAUAAAUAUUUGGGAAUUACACAACACAUUUCUAAAUAACUGAUGGGUCAAGGAAGAAAUCAUAAAGGAAACUAGGAAGUGUUUUGAAGCCAAGGCAAAGCUUAGAAAGAAAUUUACAGUUUUAAAGACUUUUAUCGGAAAAGAAGAUAGGUUUUGAAUCACCAAUCUCAUUUGCCCUUUAAGAAACUAGAAACACAAGAGCAGACUAGGUCCAAAGCAAGCAGAAGAAAAUAAAUAAUAAAGAUUAGAGUGGAAAUCAAUGAUAUAGAAAAGAAUAAAACAAGAGUGAAAAUCAAUUAAAUAAAAAUUAGUUCUAAAAGGAAAAAAUCUACAAAGUUGACAAAUCUUUAGACAAAGAAAGAAAAAAAGAACAGGCACAUAUUACUAAAAUCAGCAAUGAGGAUUGGGACAUCACUACUGAUCUUACGUAAAUUAAAAGGAUCGUAAGGGAAUAUUAUGAACAAUAGUAUGCCAGUGAAUUAGACAACUUAGAUGAAACGGACAAAUUCCUUGAAAAAUAAAAAUUAUCAAGACAUAUUUAAGAAGAAAUAAAAAAUCUGAAUAGACCUAUGACAAGUAAAUAGUUUAAAUUGGUAAUAAAAAACAUUUCCACUAAGAAAAGUCUAUACCCAGGUGGCUUAACUGGUGAAUUCUAUUAAAUAUUUAAAAUAGAAAUAAUGCCAGUACUUAACUGGUUUCAAAAAAUAGAGAGUAAGGGAACAUUUCCCAACUCGUCCUAUGAAAGCAGCAUUACUCUGACACCAAAGCCAGACAAAGACAUCAGAAGAAGAAAGACUACAGACCAAUAUAUCCUUCAUGAACAUGACAUAACAAUACUUAAAAUAUUAAUAAACUUAAUCCAGCAACAUAUAAAUAGGAUGAUAUACCAUGACCAAAUGGGAUUUAUCCCAUGAAUGUAAGGUUGAUUUAAUAUUUAAACGUCAAUGUACUGUACAAUAUUAAUAGAAUAAAGGAUUAAAAUCACAUGAUUUUCUCAGUAGAUGCAGGAAAUUUUUUGAUAAAAUCCAAAACACAUUUAAAAUAAAAACGCUCAAGAAAGUGGGAAUAGAAGGAAACGUCCUCAAGCUGAUAAAAGACAUUCAUGAGAAACCCAGAGGUAACAUCAUACUUAAUGUUGAAGGAAUGUAUUAUUUCCCCCAAAGGUUGCUAACAAGGCACAGAUGUUCACUUUCACCACUUCUGUUUUCACAUUUUACUAGAUGUUCUUGCUAGUGCAAUAAGGAAAAAAAACGCAUUAAAUGCAUCUGGAUUUGAAAGGAAGAAUUGAAACUGCCUUUGUUCUAGAAAACGUCAAGGAAUACACAAAAAACUACUAGAACUAAUAAUUAAGUUUAGUAAAUUCAUGUGAUACAAUAUCAAUAAACAAUAUUGAUUGUAUUUCUAUAUAUUAGCAAUUAAAAAUCUGAAAAUGGAAUUAAGAGUAUAAUUCUAUCCACGAUAGCAUCAAAAAAUAAAAUACUUAAGGUUAAAUUUGACAAAAGAAGCACAAGAAUUGUACACUGAAAACUACAAAACUGCUGAGAGAAAUCAGAGACUAUCUCAAUAAAGGGAGACACAUUCCAUAUUAAUUGGUUGAAAUACUCAUUAUUGUUAAGGUGGCAAUCAUACCCAAAUUGACGUAUAAAUCAAAAGAGUCAAUCCCUAUCAAAAUCCCAAUAGAAGUUAAUAG